rnacentral:rRNA from 1 species
UACGGGGGGGGCAAGCGUUGUUCGGAAUUACUGGGCGUAAAGGGUUCGUAGGUGGCCAACUUAGUCAGACGUGAAAUCCCUCAGCUUAACUGGGGAACUGCGUCUGAUACUGGAUGGCUCGAGUGCAGGAGAGGAACGCGGAAUUCCAGGUGUAGUGGUGAAAUGCGUAGAUAUCUGGAGGAACACCGGUGGCGAAGGCGGCGUUCUGGACUGCAACUGACACUGAGGAACGAAAGCCAGGGGAGCAAACGGG